AUGAUAAUGAAUUGUCUGGAAACAUACCAGCAAAUACCAUGGGAAGUUAGUAACCUGAUCAAUCUUGGCCUCCUUAAUGUUUCCAACAACAAAUUAUCUGGUAGCCUUCCUUCUGAACUUGGCCUGUGUGUUCAACUGCUAUCCCUUCAGAUCAAAAGCAACAUGCUUAAUGGGAGUAUUCCCGAGUAUUUCAGCAAACUGAAGGUCAUACAGCAGAUAGAUCUGUCCGAGAACAAUUUAACUGGUCAAGUUCCACAGUAUUUUGUGAACUUCAGCAGCUUAAAUUAUAUUAAUAUAUCAUACAACAAAUUUGAAGGGCCAAUCCCGACUGGUGGCAUAUUUCGAAAUUCAGCUGCAGUAUUCCUGCAAGGCAACACAGGCUUAUGUGAAACAGCUGCUGCCAUAUUUGGAUUGCACAUUUGCCCAACCUCCUCAGCAACAAGAAGGAAGAUCAACACACGCCUGCUGCUUAUAGUAGCUCCACCAAUUACUAUUGCCGUGUUCUCAUUAUUAUGUGUUGUUGUCACUAUUAUGAAGGGAACUAAAGCUCAACCAUCUGAAAGCUUCAAGGAGACAAUGAGGAGGGUGUCAUAUGGAGACAUCCUUAAAGCCACCAAUUGGUUCUCUCUGGUCAACCGGAUCAGUUCAAGUCAUACAGCAUCCGUCUACAUUGGCCGGUUUGAGUUCGAGACAGAUCUAGUGGCCAUCAAAGUAUUCCAUCUUAGUGAGCAAGGUUCAAGAAAUAGCUUUUUCACCGAGUGCGAAGUGCUAAAACACACCCGCCACCGCAACCUGGUUCAAGCUAUCACCCUGUGCUCCACUGUAGAUUCCGAGGGUGAAGAAUUCAAGGCCAUAGUAUAUGAGUUCAUGGCAAAUGGUAGCCUGGACAUGUGGAUACACCCAAGGGUCGGCAGCUCAAGGAGGCUGCUGAGCUUGGGCCAGCGGAUACGUAUUGCUGCUGAUGUGGCUUCUGCUCUGGACUAUAUGCACAACCAGCUGACACCUCCUUUGAUCCACUGCGAUUUGAAGCCAAGCAAUGUGCUGCUGGACUACGAUAUGACCUCGCGCAUUUGUGACUUCGGGUCUGCCAAGUUCCUCUCUUCAAGUAUUGGCAGACCAGAAGGCUUUAUUGGUGUAGGAGGAACAAUCGGAUAUAUCGCUCCUGAAUAUGGGAUGGGAUGCAAAGUCUCGACAGGCGGCGAUGUUUACGGUUUUGGGGUGCUGCUGCUGGAGAUGCUCACGGCAAGGCGGCCGACGGACGCGCUAUGCGGCAACGCUCUCAGCCUCCACAAGUAUGUCGACCUAGCCUUCCCCGAGAGGAUCGCUGAGGUUAUAGAUCCCCACAUGCCAUCCGAGGAGGAUGAGGCGGCUGCUUCUGUACGUAUGCAGAACUACAUUAUACCUUUGGUCAGUAUUGGCCUGAUGUGUACUAUGGAAUCGCCGAAUGAUAGACCAGCAAUGCAUGAUGUUUGUGCCAGAAUUGUUGCCAUCAAAGAGGCAUUUGCCUUGUGA
rnacentral:rRNA from 1 species